rnacentral:rRNA from 1 species
UACGUAGGGGGCAAGCGUUGUCCGGAUUUAUUGGGCGUAAAGAGCGUGUAGGCGGCCAUGCAGGUCAGCUGUGAAAACUCGAGGCUCAACCUCGAGACGUCGGUUGAAACCGUAUGGCUAGAGUCCGGAAGAGGAGAGUGGAAUUCCCGGUGUAGCGGUGAAAUGCGCAGAUAUCGGGAAGAACACCCGUGGCGAAGGCGGCUCUCUGGGACGGUACUGACGCUGAGACGCGAAAGCGUGGGGAGCGAACGGG